rnacentral:rRNA from 1 species
AUACGUAGGGUGCAAGCGUUAAUCGGAAUUACUGGGCGUAAAGCGUGCGCAGGCGGUUCGGAAAGAAGGAUGUGAAAUCCCAGGGCUCAACCUUGGAACUGCAUUCUUAACUACCGAACUAGAGUAUGUCAGAGGGGGGUAGAAUUCCGCGUGUAGCAGUGAAAUGCGUAGAUAUGCGGAGGAAUACCGAUGGCGAAGGCAGCCCCCUGGGAUAAUACUGACGCUCAUGCACGAAAGCGUGGGUAGCAAACAGGAUUAGAUACCCUGGUAGUCCACGCCCUAAACGAUGGCAACUAGCUGUUGGGCCCUUCGGGGCUUAGUAGCGUAGCUAACGCGUGAAGUUGACCGCCUGGGGGGUACGGUCGCAAGAUUAAAACUCAAAGGAAUUGACGGGG